rnacentral:rRNA from 1 species
UCGAGCGGUAAGGCCCUUCGGGGUACACGAGCGGCGAACGGGUGAGUAACACGUGGGUAACCUGCCCUGUACUCUGGGAUAAGCCUUGGAAACGAGGUCUAAUACCGGAUACGACACUUGAAGGCAUCUUCGGGUGUGGAAAGUUCCGGCGGUAUGGGAUGGACCCGCGGCCUAUCAGCUUGUUGGUGGGGUAAUGGCCUACCAAGGCGACGACGGGUAGCCGGCCUGAGAGGGUGAUCGGCCACACUGGGACUGAGACACGGCCCAGACUCCUACGGGAGGCAGCAGUGGGGAAUAUUGCACAAUGGGCGAAAGCCUGAUGCAGCGACGCCGCGUGAGGGAUGACGGCCUUCGGGUUGUAAACCUCUUUCAGCAGGGACGAAGCGCAAGUGACGGUACCUGCAGAAGAAGCACCGGCUAACUACGUGCCAGCAGCCGCGGUAAUACGUAGGGUGCGAGCGUUGUCCGGAAUUAUUGGGCGUAAAGAGCUCGUAGGCGGUUUGUCGCGUCGGCCGUGAAAACUUGGGGCUUAACCCCAAGCCUGCGGUCGAUACGGGCAGACUUGAGUUCGGCAGGGGAGACUGGAAUUCCUGGUGUAGCGGUGAAAUGCGCAGAUAUCAGGAGGAACACCGGUGGCGAAGGCGGGUCUCUGGGCCGACACUGACGCUGAGGAGCGAAAGCGUGGGGAGCGAACAGGAUUAGAUACCCUGGUAGUCCACGCCGUAAACGGUGGGUGCUAGGUGUGGGGGGCU